rnacentral:lncRNA from 1 species
GAUUCCAAACCUCAACGGCGACCUCAAACCUGAAAAUGCGACACAACUUUAAUGCUGAAAACCUCGCCAGAACUCAACGGACCUCUAACUCGUCGGAAACUCGGCGACAAAUAGACUGAAUCUGAGCUAUUUGUUGCUGCUUUUACUGGUUAUUGGGUUCGAUUUCGGAAAACUUCAUGGUUGUUGCGGGGUGUCGAUUUUGCUUGGGCUGAACAAGAAGGAGCUGCUCCUUUUUGGAUCUAGUUUUCGUUCUGUUCCUUCUCUUUUUUUAUAAUUUUUCGGAUCUGUUUCUCCUUGCCUUUUCGUUACUGUGUGUGCCUCCAAUUUUUAGUCUAGGAAUUAGGAACUAGGUUCUUGGGGUCUUCUUGGUUCUUAUGCUGAAGAAAAUGAAAA